GGUCGUUCUGAUGGAAUUAUCUGUAUCUGGAAAGGGAAUUAAAACAACAGCAACAGCCAUAACCACAAAAAUUAAUAACAUUUAUAUAGUGAGCUUAACUUCUUCAGCUACAAUUGUCAACUGGAAAAUAAUCCUGGGUCACAACAGAUGAGAAGUUGAGCCUGAGAGUUAGCAUGCCAUCAUGUGUGCUGCAUCAUGACAAACGCAAAAUUCAGUUUCGUUCAUCGUGCUGUAGCCUUAUGAGGCUUUGCCCUCGGGUGGGAAAAAAUAUUGCGCCCGGGAAAGGGAAGUGGGAGUCAACAGACACUCAAGGAAUAGUUUCGGAGAAAAAGGUUUUAUUUCUAUCACCCAUGAACUGGUAGAAGGAGCAAGUGUGAUAGUCCACAAAAGCAUGCACGAAGUUCACAGUCAUGUGCACAAGCAUAUAUACCCCUUUCUAGUUCCCUCCUCCUUUCUCCUCCUUCCAGAGUCCUGCCCCAUGAGUUCCUCUGAACAUGAACAGAAAGCUGUCUUGGGACUAUUGGACUCUUGGUGCCCUUCCCAGGAAAGGGGUUUCAGAGUGUUCAGAUAUGUUUCAAUCUCUUGUUCUGGCAUGGUUCCCAGACAGAAAGUAAGUUGCAAUGUGGUUCUUUAGCAAGGCCAGAAGGCAUGAGAAAGGCCUGAGAAACAAUGGACUGUUCUCUACCUUUUGUUACAGCAGAGCAGAAUGUUUCUGAUGCUUAGCUGCUGAGAAAAUGAUUUUGAAAAGCUUUGAGAAGCUUUGAGCCUGCUUUGGAGGGGGUGACUUCGGGCCUAGGUGGGGUCACCUGUUCUCACCUCCUACAUUCCCCCCUCUUAAUCUUUGGACAGCCUUUUUCUCAAAAAGGCUCGUCCCAGGAAGGCACAGGCUGGUAUACUUGGGCCAGCGCUAUAAUCUGGGGGCGAAGCAUGCGUGCAGAUACCCCCCCCCCCCCUUCUGAAGCCCACAUUGCAGCCAGAAAAGUUCCUAGCGUGGACUCAGGUGUAACGGUUUGGGCUGGGAACGUACAUGUCAGAUUGUCACUGGCGCUCUUUGAUUUAUUGACACAAAGCCAGCCAGUAAUUCGGUGAUGGAAUGAUCGAGGCUGUAACUGAUGAUUCAUUCCAAGGCACAGGAAGGAGCGGCAGUCCCCUCAGAGCAUCUACAGGUGCCAAAGUGCAGACGGUGCUAAUCUGUGCCAUUCGUGCACAGGGUUAUUACCAAGUUGGUACUGUGGUUCAAAGGGGGCUUUAGUUAAGUUCUGGAGGCUCUGGGUGGAGCUCUGCCAGGUGGCAAGACAAUGAAAGGAGGCCGGGGCAUCAUUUCCCUGAUUGAACAUCCCACACAAAUACCCUCCUCUGCAGGGGUGUUGUAAGGCUAUCCAGGGGCCCUCAACCUUCUAUAAAGUUCAAUUAUGCAAAAGGAAAGAAAUAAAAUGAGAAAAUGUCCUCUUUCAAUCCAUGCUGGAUUCUUGAGCCGUGCAAAGCGUCAGUGUGAUGCAGGAAGGCAGGGUGGUCAUCUCACGGGCGUCGGGGCGUCUGGUGGGCGUUGGACAUCUUGGGUCUCUUCCAACAAGGCUGGAGAGUCUGGGGUGAGUCGAAGGGGCCGGUGUAGAUCAGGUGUCACAGAUGCCGGUGACAUCCAACAGCUGUAGAGAAACAGGACAGUCUCUGGCCGGUUUACCUGUCAAGAGAAGAGAAAAACAGACACGGCAGCGACUGUGCAUUGAUAGAUAACAUUCACACACAAGGCGUAUUAACUCAAAAGGGUAUGCUUGGCAGGAAACUUCGCAAGGGGUUAACAGUCCUGUUCCUUGGGUUAAGUUUUUGCCAGCUGAGAUUUUUAAAAGUCUUUGUCUCUGCGCACUAUUUUCUUCAGAGCCAUGUUGCAAAUUUCAGUUCAUUUGCCAAAGUCUGCCAGUGUUAAGCAGGAGGGGCACUGUGUUCCCUGGCUUCUGGCAAAGUAUCAAAUUCCUCAAAGUAUCAAUUCCUAUGUUAUGCUGCGGCUCCUUUUUCAGAGUAAAAUUGCACCUUAAAAAUGAUUUUUUUUUUGGACAAAGUUCACAGAAAGCAUUCACUUGCUUUUUUAAGAAAGUCACUUUCCAGGUUAGUACAGGGAGUGGGCAACCCUUGGCCUUCUGGGUUUUUUUUGUCGCUUGACUGUAAAUCCAAAUUGGCUCCAGGUAGUAGCAGGUCAGAGUAGCUGGCUGAAUGCAGCAGUGUCCUUCUGAGAUAGCUGCCAAGAGAUAAGCUACUCCAAGCGCCUGGCACAAGGGGGGGAAAAGCUGAUGUCCUGUUACUUGCAUGAAUGAAUGUUAGAAACAGUUACUUCACUUGCUUCUAGCUGCAACAGUCUUUUAGCAAGAACAGAGAUGAGAAGAAAUCAUUUUUGAGAAAUCUGAUUGUUCCCAGCCUGUGGGGGUGGGGUGUGUCGGGCGUGGGGCCUGUGGGCAUUCCAUUGCCCAAUGACCCUCUUGCCUGCAGAUGGCGCACUGGCUUCUUCCCUAGGCAUCUUCUGCCCCUCCCGUGGACACCCUCCGGGAUUACAUUUUUGGCUGCUGGCUGCUUGAAGACAAACCCCUAAUUAUUUUGGCUGGGUCCUCUUCGAAAGAAGGAUUCUGAUUUAGGGGGCUUGGAGGUCUGUGGUCCUGGGCGUCGGAUGACUCCAGGGGGCCGUACAGUCGGUGGGGUGGGGCCAUCAAAGUGGAGUUUUAGCUGCCUCAAUUGCAACUUUUAGCUGCCUCAAUUGCAACAUCAGUAUUGUCCGCUGCCCUGAGGGCAUUUAUCUUGCGGAUUUCCUCAAUGGUCAGUAUUGUAAUCCUAGGGCUGUGCCCUCGGGUUUAAUUGUCUAUCUCUCUUUUUUUAAAACAGUUCUGUCCUAUGCGGCUCUCAAAGCCUUCUGCUCUGUUUCUUUCUGUCUGUCAAUUCACAUCCUUGCAUUGUGCUGCUCCUAGAACUCAAGAAGCCACAUCCAGCUCACUCUUUUGGAUUGCUUGCUGGCUCUAUCUCACGUUGCUCUUUAAAAUCUUCUGCUCUUUUCUUUCUGCCAAUUCACAUACUGAAAUACUCUUUUGGACUGUCUGCUUGUCCAUUUCACCUGAUUCCUUCUGAGUUUCACCAUUCUCAACUUCCUCUUGUCUUUCUUCCUCAGUCUCUUUGCUUUUGGGGGUUGGGUAGGGGGAACCUCAUUUAGCCCUGGUGCAGUUGCUGCAUAGGGUGGAGGGGGGCUAAUUAUUCCUCCUUCUUCUUCUGGGUCUGGCAAGACUGCUGUUUUUUUCUAACUUGUACUUGCUGCCAUACUGGGCACAGUUUUGGCUUGGGCUAAUCACAGUUUUGCUUUUCCUAAGCCAUGGGGGAACGGUUAGGAACUUCACAUAAGUGUUUGGAGUCUAUUUUUCUUCAGUUUUUUAAAAUCCCCAAUCUUCUCCCUUUGUGGCAUCUUUCCAAUUCCCCCCCCCCCCAGGAAACAUCGCAGGGGGGUCGUGGGAGUUGUUUUACUGCUCUUUCUCCAUGACCCUGGGACCCUGGAACACUUGGGAUACUGGGACACUCCCUUCUCCUAAUGUCAUUUCUCUCACUCAGUCACAGACCACACGUUGCUUUCAACGUCUCACACACUCAAAACAUUCACUGGAGUGUCCCCACACGCACAUUCAGAAAAACCCAUGCACCUCCCUCAAUCCCCUUUUUACCAAAACCAAAACCACAACCGGCAGCGCUUAGACUUCGACCAGGGCCCAGCAGACCCUUUACUGCUUUUUCUGGGCGACACCAAAACCAGUGGCACUUUUUCUACCCUACUGGUCGGGCUGAUCAGGCCCUGUUUGUUUGCUCCCACCUACAGCCUGUGGAGCUUGCUCCCACCUAUACCCUGUGGAGCCUACUUUGUUUCUCGAGGUACCUUCUUUCUGCACGGCCGUUGCUUUUUCUCCGGUCCUUGCAGUGUGUCCACUCAGGAACGGGUGGCAAUUCCUCCUACGAACUUGGCAGGAUGUGCACUGGAACUGCUGACAUGAACCGAGCUGUUCACCGCAGGAACGCCUUGAACCCACAUCCCUUAUCCUCAGGGAAUCUGUUUUUCCCGGCCAAUCGCACCAAGAGUGCAGCCUCUUUGCCGCAAUGUUGCACCUGAGAGAUCCUUCCUGUUUAUGGGAUGUAACAUCACUGAAGCAGUCAAAUACAACAUUUCCUGUUUGCCCAGAGUGGACACACAGGGGGAUGUUGCUCCAGCCAGGAGGACUUCCUGUCACACCUGAUCUGGAGCUUCCUCUCCCUGCAUGUGACCAGGUAGAUGGGCAUGACCCUGGUAGAUCCUAUAAAAGAGCUGGUCACGCAGCCAUCUUCCUCUUUCCCCCUUAUUCCAUCUUGCCUUUUGCUGUCUGCUGGCUCUCAGCCAGCAGACAUGGAGCCCAUCCCUCACAGAGGAUGAAUCCACGCUUUUCUCUGUAACUGUAACUACAAGCUAAAGCCUGCCUUCAGGACCAUGCUGUGAACUGAAUGUAAGUAAACCUUAUCAUUACUUUUAAAAGAAGACUGUUGCGUCAUUCUUGUUUUUAAGAGGGAACUAAAGGGGAUUUACCAGGAAUAAUCCAAUCUGGACAAGCCAGACUGGAUUGCUUAACUCAAAUGGUUCUAAUGAAUCUAUCAACCAGCUUCCUGCUAUUUACAAGGGAAUGUGCUCUGCUAUUAGCUCACUAGCAUGAGUAAGGAAGGAUAAUGUUUAAUCAAUAUAUCCUCUCCUACUAUCCACAACAUUCCCACACUGUUGAGACUUCUCAGUGACUUUGAUACGGCAUCCAACCCUAAUUCAUUGCACGGGUGGGAAUAGGGAUAGGCUAUGUGUGGCCCUCCAGAUGACUACAACUCCCAUCAUUCCUAAUCAUCAGCCAUGCUGGUUGGGGCAGAUGGGAGGUGGAGACCAACCAUACCUGGAGCACUUUACAGCAUGUUAUGGUCUAAUAGAAAAUUAUAUAAAGAUGAUAUAUCGAUGGUAUCUAACACCGAGUAAGUUAGCAAAAAUGUAUAAAUCAAAAUCAAAUAAGUGUUGGAAAUAUAAUGAGAAUGAAGGUUCUUUUUAUCAUAUGUGGUGGUCUUGUAGUAAGGUUAAAGCUUACUGGGAAAUGAUAUAUAAUGAAAUGAGAAGGAUGUUUAAAAAACCUUUGUAAAAAAAAACCCCAGAAAGCUUUUCUUUUGGGAAUUAUAGGGACAGAGCUACCUAAACUGUAUAGAAACUUAUUCAUGUAUGCUUCUACAGAGGCAAGAAUGUUACUUGCCCCAAAAUGGAAAGAAGUAGAACUCCCAGCAAAGGAAGAAUGGAU